ACAAGAUAAUUGAUUGGUGAUGAGAUCCUUGUAUGUACAACUUAUAUGUACAUAUACAUGCAACAUAUCCUCAGCAAAUACAUAGAUAUGACACUAUAAACCCUUAUAUCUUGCACGCAGUUGGGGUUUAGCAUGUGACCAAGUUCUAUGGCACUCUUACCCUAUCUUGCUUCACUCAAAACACAUACUGAAGAGAAAAUACUUAGCACAGUAGUUGUACAUGUAUAAUCGACAUUUACAUUAUUAGUUCGGAGUACAGCUUCCUCCACUUGCAUCACUAUCAUCACCAUCACCACCCGCAGCAUGUUGAUUUUGGCCAUUGCCCCAACUAUCGUACGAUUGGCGAGGUAUGUUAUGGUGGUUAUUGAUGUAGCUAUCAUGGUCCACAGGACUGUUACUCUCUAAACUCUUUUCCUCUCCUUUUUGUGACACUGUUUCCUGUUGCCGAGGUUGUGGUCGGGAUUCAUCUAGGUUAACUUCCAUGAGCAUUCUUCUAUGAAUGCCAAAAGCUGUGUUUACUAACAUCAUGUACAAGAUAAACACAAUAAGAAUCUUCAUAGCUGCUAACUAAGGUAAACUUGAGUUUAGAAAGUGGAAACUCAAAUAGGG
rnacentral:lncRNA from 1 species